rfam:Bordetella ansorpii strain H050680373 genome assembly, contig: ERS1093620SCcontig000002
GUACGUCUUCAGGGCGGGGCGAAAUUCCCCACCGGCGGUAUGCCGCGCAAUGCGGCGAGCCCGCGAGCGCCCGUGGUCUUUCCGAUCACGGGGUCAGCAGAUCUGGUGCGAUGCCAGGGCCGACGGUCACAGUCCGGAUGAAAGAAGAUGUGC